ACAGAGGUGGCAAGCGUUGUUCGGAUUUAUUGGGCGUAAAGCGAACGCAGGCGGUUUGGUAAGUCAGAGGUGAAAGACCACAGCUUAACUGUGGUAUUGCCUUUGAUACUGCCUUUCUUGAGUGGAGUAGGGGGAAGCGGAAUUCCGAGUGUAGAGGUGAAAUUCGUAGAUAUUCGGAGGAACACCGGUGGCGAAGGCGGCUUCCUGGACUCUAACUGACGCUCAUGUUCGAAAGCGUGGGUAGCAAACAGGAUUAGAUACCCUGGUAGUCCACGCCCUAAACGAUGGGCACUAGGUGUGGGAGGUAUCGACCCCUUCCGUGCCGCAGCUAACGCAUUAAGUGCCCCGCCUGGGGAGUACGGCCGCAAGGUUG
rnacentral:rRNA from 1 species